rnacentral:rRNA from 1 species
GAUGAACGCUGGCGGCGUGCCUAAUACAUGCAAGUCGAGCGAACAGACGAGGAGCUUGCUCCUCUGACGUUAGCGGCGGACGGGUGAGUAACACGUGGAUAACCUACCUAUAAGACUGGGAUAACUUCGGGAAACCGGAGCUAAUGCCGGAUAAUAUAUUGAACCGCAUGGUUCAAUAGUGAAAGACGGUUUUGCUGUCACUUAUAGAUGGAUCCGCGCCGCAUUAGCUAGUUGGUAAGGUAACGGCUUACCAAGGCAACGAAGCGUAGCCGACCUGAGAGGGUGAUCGGCCACACUGGAACUGAGACACGGUCCAGACUCCUACGGGAGGCAGCAGUAGGGAAUCUUCCGCAAUGGGCGAAAGCCUGACGGAGCAACGCCGCGUGAGUGAUGAAGGUCUUCGGAUCGUAAAACUCUGUUAUUAGGGAAGAACAAAUGUGUAAGUAACUAUGCACGUCUUGACGGUACCUAAUCAGAAAGCCACGGCUAACUACGUG